rnacentral:misc_RNA from 1 species
AAUUAUGCAAUUCCUGCAGGAUAAGAUAACUCAUCAUAUUUACCUUAUCAUGGAUUAAAUUCAGAGGAAUUUGCAUGAUAAAGAUAAAAAAUACAUGAAGAAGCAGAGUCAUAAUGCGUGUGAGAUAGAAUGUCUCGUCUAGCCGUCUUUUCAUAUUGUUCUUCCAGAUUUGCAUGUCAACAAGCAUAUGAAUUUCGACUACUUGCAGGAAGUAAUUUCUUGACACUAAAAAUUGGUGAAAUAAUCCUCACAUAAUUA